AGAGUUUGAUCCUGGCUCAGAAUCAACGCUGGCGGCGUGCCUAACACAUGCAAGCCGAACGAGAAAGUGGAGCAAUCCAUGAGUAAAGUGGCGCACGGGUGAGUAACACGUGACUAACCUACCCUUAAGCGGGGGAUAACCUAGGGAAACCUGGGCUAAUACCGCAUAAUACCUACGGGUCAAAGCAGCAAUGCACUUGAGGAGGGGGUCGCGGCAGAUUAGUUAGUUGGUGAGGUAAUGGCUCACCAAGACGAUGAUCUGUAUCCGGCCUGAGAGGGCGCACGGACACACUGGAACUGAAACACGGUCCAGACUCCUACGGGAGGCAGCAGUGGGGAAUUUUGCGCAAUGGGGGAAACCCUGACGCAGCAACGCCGCGUGGAGGAUGAAAUCCCUUGGGAUGUAAACUCCUUUCGAUCGGGACGAUUAUGACGGUACCGGAAGAAGAAGCCCCGGCUAACUUCGUGCCAGCAGCCGCGGUAAUACGAGGGGGGCAAGCGUUGUUCGGAAUUAUUGGGCGUAAAGGGUGCGUAGGCGGUUUGAUAAGUCUGAUGUGAAAUCUCUGGGCUCAACCCAGGGGCUGCAUCGGAAACUGUCAGGCUUGAGAGUAGGAGAGGUGAGUGGAAUUUCCGGUGUAGCGGUGAAAUGCGUAGAUAUCGGAAGGAACACCUGUGGCGAAAGCGGCUCACUGGACCAUUUCUGACGCUGAUGCACGAAAGCUAGGGGAGCAAACAGGAUUAGAUACCCCCGUAGUCC
rnacentral:rRNA from 1 species